AUCUAAAUCACUCGUGAUUUUCACUAACACUGAAUUAAUAUGCCUCAGUAAAAUACAAAGGUAUUUCACUAUCUAGAACUGGCACACUUACAUAAAGCCGCCUUUUGUUAUCGGUGAACCAUUCGCUGUUUCGCUUCGAGUAUUUCCGAUUACUAACUAACUGCUGCGUGCCAUCUCUGCAACGCUUUUAUAGUCGAUACGACAUCCCUGGAAUCGUCGAGAACAUUCCUCACAAGUCGAGUAGCUUCGAUGUGUGUUUCCGCUAUCUGGCAAUAGAUGGCGUUGUACUUCCCGAGCGUUCUAGAUGUUACUAGAUCCUUCGAUAUUCGUUCGGCUAUUCGGCGAUAGAUGGCGUUACUCUUACCGGCGUAACAGUUAAGUGAUCGCUGAAGCCUGUGUAUAUUACAGCUUGAAUAUUGAAACUUCCACCUCAUGUAGCAACAUCGGUUGAAACAACCAUAUGGCGGCAUUGGUUAGUAUUUAUAGGCUCCGCUAACUAUUUCAUACUAGUAAACAGUGAACUCGUUCAUCUGUCUAUGCUGUAUAACGCUCUGUCAUAUUUUUAAUAUAAAUUGUAGCAUAGAAACUAGAAAUGGCGCCUGCAAUGUGAAAAGAUAGCGAACUCUGUGUCUUUUUCUGAAUGGUUAACUUUUAUGUGACAAAACUGCUGUUAAUUUUGCUUCUUAAACAUCCUUGAAAUAUUUGAAAGAUAUUAAAAAAAGUACGAACAUUUAA